UCUUAAAAAGCCAAAAAGUCAUCCCAAACAUACUAGUUUUUUUUAACUCAUAUUUUAGCCAAAUAGCUAAAAAGUUACUAAAUUAGCAUGUUCCCAAACGAGACCUAGUUUGUUUUAGUUUUUAAAUUCAAAUGCAGAGGAAGGCGCAAAUGUAGCGGUUGGCUGAAUUUAUUUUCUUUUGUUGUAUGGAUAUGUAGGGCUGCUACAAUUCCAAGAGCCAAAGGGAAACUUGUCGAAGAGAUCACUCCACUGUAAUGUAGAGAAGUUUGAAUUUUAGGCUGAGGUGUCUCGGCUUAUGGACAUCAUUAUCAACUCACUUUACAGCAAUAAAGAUAUCUUCUUUAGAGAAUAUAUUUGGCAUGGUAGUGAAUAUAUUUGUAUACGGAGGACAUGUUUUGUUCUGAUUCUCUGUUUUGUAUGGAAUAAUAUUAUUAUUUUAGAUUGGAAUAUACUUAAUUUGUAUGGAA